rnacentral:rRNA from 1 species
UACGUAGGGUGCAAGCGUUGUCCGGAAUUAUUGGGCGUAAAGGGCUCGUAGGCGGCUUGUUGCGUCGGAUGUGAAAGCCCGGGGCUUAACUCCGGGUCUGCAUUCGAUACGGGCAGGCUAGAGUUCGGUAGGGGAGAUCGGAAUUCCUGGUGUAGCGGUGAAAUGCGCAGAUAUCAGGAGGAACACCGGUGGCGAAGGCGGAUCUCUGGGCCGAUACUGACGCUGAGGAGCGAAAGCGUGGGGAGCGAACAGG